rnacentral:sRNA from 1 species
CAGCGUGGGAAGCGGGUACCGGUAACGGCCUGAAGGCCCCUGGUGGGCCUCAACACUUCCCACGAUUUU